rnacentral:lncRNA from 1 species
AAUCUGAUUUGAUUAGCAAAUGCUCUUUGUGAAGCGCUUGGUGCAACAGAUGAUGAAGCGUCAUGAUAAGUGCUUGAAUCUCCGCUUGAAAAGUUGAAGCAACUGGGAAUCUUUAUGUAAAAACAUCGGUAAGUAUUCCUUGAUGAUUUCGACAAACACAUGCCAUGGUGCCUUCAUUACUUCCAGGCUGAAAAGCUCUGUCGAUGUUGCAUUUCAAUAUGCCAUAAUCAGGAGGUCUCCACAACUGAGCAGGGCUGAGGAUAGAAUGAUCUGAUCGGUGAAGAUUGGGGUCGGAGAUCUGGUGGAUCCGAGUCUGUGCGAUGGCGUCCUCCACUGCAAGGCUUGGAUUUGGUCGCUGAUGGCGGAAUAUGUAGCUAUUGCGCAUAUGCCAUAUCUGCCAUAACACAUUGGCUAUCGUUUCCAAUCCAGGUAAGGGAUUUGAAAUUGUUACCCUUUCUGUUACCCAUGCAUCAAGACGCUGCAACGAGUGAGGUGAGAUUUGGACAUUGAUCUGAGGAUGGCGCCAAACUUCUCUGGUCCAUGUACAAAAGAAAAACAGGUGCUCUAUAGUUUCUGGCAUGUCUUGAUUGCAUAGACUACAUAUAGGAUCAAGGGUAAUAUGUCUGUGAAAUAGGUUGGCCUUGGUUGCAAGUGCAUUUUGGCAUGCUGUCCACAGAAAUGUGCAAACCUUGGGUGCUGUUUUCAUAUUCCAUAUUCUUCGCCAUAAAAUUCUGGGGUUUUGGUGAGAAGUCAAGGCAAGUGGAUUGGUUGGUGUGGUUACUGUGUUGGUGAGUCGAUGGUAGUUACUUUUAACUGUAUAACGACCAAUAGUAGUGGCCGUCCAAACGAGCUGAUCAGUAGCAUGUAAAGGACUAACGGGAAUUGUAAGAAUUUCUACACUGACCUGUUCAUCAAAAAGUUGUUUAAUAAGAGGGGAGUUCCAGGUGUGGUGGAUAUGAUCAAUAAGAUCGGCCACCAAAACUGGUUCUUCUUGUGCUCAUGGUCCUCCUAUUAUUCCCAUAGGUAACCACUUGUCUUCACAUAUCCUAAUCUUUUUACCAUCACCAACAAACCAUCUGACAUUCGGAAGAAUGGCUUCUCUCCCAAUCAAAAGGCUCUGCCAUCCCCAGGAUGGACUCCACAGAGAUUGAGGUUUUUGAAGUAAACGCCAAGCUUGCUUACCAAGCAUUGCCCUGUUAAAAUUAAUAAGGUCUUGAAAUCCCAUACCUCCAUUAUCUUUGCUUGAUUUUAGAAUUGCCCAUUUUUGCCAAUGAAUGCCUACCUUACUCUUGUCAUUGCUCCACCAAAAUGCUGAAAUUCUCUAUUCUAUUAAUCUACAAAGAGACAGGGGAAGCUUGAAGAUCGACAUGGCAUAUUGUGGUAAAGCAUGUACAACAGAUUUAAGUAGGAUUUCCUUUCCACUCUUUGAAAGUAAUAUUUAUUUCCAACCCUCUAACUUAGCAUUAACUCUCCCCAAUAUCCAAGAAAACAUCUCUCGCUUUGAUCGCCCCCAGUCUAAAGGAAUUCCCAAAUAUUUACCGUACCAUUGUAACACCGGUAUUUUGAAUUCACUCGCCAAGUUUUCCUAAAGGCUCAAAGGGCAGUGUUUACUGAAAAACAAUCCAGAUUUAUUUCUAUUUAUGACCUGUCCCGUAGCCACACAAUAUUGAUUCAAGAUAUUAGCGAGGUUCUGGCAUUCCUUAAUGUUAGCUUCUAGGAAGAAAACAAAAUCAUCAGCGAAAAAAAUGUGGAAUAGAGUUGGACACCACCUAUUGAAUUUAAUACCGUUAAGAUGUCCCAUGUCCAAUGCUUGGUUAAUAAGGGUUGAUAACACAUUUUCCAUCAAGAUAAAAAUAUAUGGAGAGAGUGGAUCACCUUGUCGAAGACCUCUUGACGGUUGAAAAUAAUCAAGUUGAUCGCCAUUAAAUCGAACACUAAAAGAAGUUGUUGUGAUGCAUUGCAUCACCAACUGAACCCAUCUUUGAUGGAACCCCAUUUUAAGCAAAUAAUCUUGAAGGAAAUCCCAUUCAACUCUGUCAUAUGCCUUUUGCAUGUAGGUCUUGAGAAGUACAUUGAACUUUCUCUUUCUCUUUCUUACUUUAAAUUGGUGAAGCACCUCCUGGACAAUCAUUAUAUUGUCUUGAAUCUAUCUGUCACUCACAAAUGCAGCUUGUUCUAUAGAGAUCAACUUGGGUAGCCAAGGUUUUAGUCGAUUGGCGAUGACCUUUGAAAUAAUUUUAUAGGCAUAGGUGCAAAAGCUAAUUGGUCAAUACUGAUCAAGUCUUUCUAGGUGAUUGACUUUGGGGAUCAAAGCAAUGAUGGUCCUGUUUAGAUUGCGAGGCAUCACACCUGAGCUAAAAAAAUCUCGCACUGAUUUAACAACAUCAUCCUUAAUAAUAUCCCAGUGUGUCUGAAAGAAUAACCCAUUCAAACCAUCAAGACCUAGGGCCUUUGUUGUCAAAACUGGAAAGUUGCCUGGCGGACCUCCUCAUCAGUAACUAAAGUCAUCAACUUAUCAUUCAAUUCUGUAGAAACAACUUGAGGGCAUUGAUCUAAAAUUGGGCCAUAGUCACAAUAACCAACUGUAGUAUAUAAAGUGGAAAAGAAAUUGGAUGUCAUCUCCCUUAAGGUCGCAAGGUCCCUCACCCAGUUAUGAUCAUUGUCUUAUAGCAUACAGAUUUUGUUUCUUUGCCUUCUUUGUAAUGUGCUGGCGUGAAAAAACUUUGUAUUCUUAUCGCCCCAUCAUAGCCAAUUUAUUCUAGAACGCAUAGCCUAGAAUUGUUCUUCUUGUUGCCAUAUUCUUUCUUAUUUCAUCUCGCAAAGUAGAUGCUGCCACUCUGUCGUUGUUGUUGUUAUGUGGGCUGUUUAUGAUAAGCUGAAGCUAAUUUUGUAAAUGAAGCACUCUAAGGUGGCCAUUUUGAAAUUUUGAUCUACUCCAAUUAUAGAUGAUCUAUUUGCAUUGCUGAUCUUCCAAAAAGCUUCAUAAAUGAAAGUCUUUUUUCAUUUUCGAAACUUUGCUGUUGUAUUUAGAAGAAGAGGACAAUGGUCAGACCCCAGUGCCGGGAGUGCCAAUACUUCAGCCGCACGAUAUAUAAGACGCCAACCCAUAGAACACAUAAUCUGAUCUAACCUUUCCUUCACUUACUCGUCCUCUUCUCAGUUAUUCAUUCAGGUAAAAGCGCACCCUUUGCUUUAUAACUCCAUCAGAGAACAAUCAUUUAUGACGACACGAAAUGAGAAUAGACGAUAUGAGUCUGCUAGUCGCUUCCCAACCUUUUCCCAUGGGUAGAUAAUCUUGUUAAAAUUGCCUGCACAUAACCAGGGUAAUGUAUUGAGAUGCUAAUUUCCCGAAGCUUGUCCCAUAGCAGCUGUCUAGAUUGGUAGUUUGAGGGAGCAUGAAGAAAGGUAAUUCGCAUUGUUCUGUCCUCCCAUCAAAUCACGGCAAACCAUAUCAAAGUAGUCCUUCGAGGAUCUCAUAAUAUUUAAAGUCAAGUUUUCACUCCAGAAAACUGCUAGUCCUCCUACCAGUCCCACUGGGUUUCGAACGUAGGAACUAUGAAAAUGUAAACGACGUUGUAAUCAAUAAAUCACUGACUCAUCAUUUUUUGUCUCCAUUAAGAAGACUACAUCGGGUUUUUCUUUGGCCAAAAUGGCUUUAAGGGCUUGAACUGUCAGGGGAUUGCCCAACCCUAACAGUUCCAACAAAUUAACUUCAUUUGUCUUUUGGUGGCUGUUGAGGGCCAGCCGCCAAAGCCUAAUGUCCCGUUUCUUCCACUAUUAAAACUAGUCUGUCCAUGAGAAAGGUGUCAUCAAAGUCCUCUAAACUUAAGUUCCGCAUCUCAUAGGGAGCAUACUUUUUCUGUUUUUUGGCUGCCAAAACUUUUGGAGCAGAUCUUGUAUUCUUUAGUUUUUUUUGCUGCUGUAUUUCCAUCUGUUGAGGCUGAGUUCCCUUCAUUUUUGUUGAUGCAUGUAUCAAAUCAGUUGAUAAGGAAGUCCCAUGUUUUAUAGCAUUCUGAUGGAAAUGCUGCUGGUUCUGAAGGAAGGUGCAAAUUUCUUGGUCUCGGCAUGGGGUUUGCGUCACCAUCAACUAGUGGGGGCUUGAAAGGAACGAUCGGUAGC